UACGGAGGGUGCAAGCGUUAUCCGGAUUCACUGGGUUUAAAGGGUGCGUAGGCGGUCUUGUAAGUCAGUGGUGAAAGCCCUCGGCUCAACCGAGGAACUGCGCUUGAAACCGGAUGGCUCGAGUCAACUAGAGGUGCACGGAACUUCCAGUGGAGCGGUGAAAUGUGUUGAUAUUGGAAGGAACACCGGAGGCGAAAGCGGUACACUGGGGUUGGUCUGACGCUGAGGCACGAAAGCCAGGGGAGCGAACGGG
rnacentral:rRNA from 1 species